rnacentral:rRNA from 1 species
UCCUAGUACGGCGAGUGAAGCGGGAAGAGCUCAAAUUUGAAAUCUGGUAGCCUUCGGCUGCCCGAGUUGUAAUCUAGAGAAGUGUUUUCCGUGCCGGCCCAUGUACAAGUCCCUUGGAACAGGGCGUCAUAGAGGGUGAGAAUCCCGUCCUUGACAUGGACCCCCGGUGCUUUGUGAUACACUUUCAACGAGUCGAGUUGUUUGGGAAUGCAGCUCAAAAUGGGUGGUGAAUUCCAUCUAAAGCUAAAUAUUGGCGAGAGACCGAUAGCGAACAAGUACCGUGAGGGAAAGAUGAAAAGCACUUUGGAAAGAGAGUUAAACAGUACGUGAAAUUGUUGAAAGGGAAACGAUUGAAGUCAGUCAUGCUCUUUGGAUUCAGCCGUUCUGCGGUGUAUUUCCAUUGAGUGGGGUCAACAUCAGUUUUGACCGCUGGAUAAAGGCACUAGGAAGGUAGCACUCUCGGGUGAACUUAUAGCCUAGCGUCAUAUACAGUGGUUGGGACUGAGGAACGCAGCAUGCCUUUAUGGCCGGGAUUCGUCCACGUACAUGCUUAGGAUGUUGACAUAAUGGCUUUAAACGACCCG